rnacentral:sRNA from 2 species
CCAACCUCAGAAAGGUACUGUCUCUAUAUCGACAUCUCCUCAAUUCCUACGCUUAUGAAUUACAUGUUCCAUCAUCGUAGAUGCACCACACCUGACGGCAUACAAAGCUAAUCUGGAUGGAACCCAAAUCCCCAAACCUUCCCACCUCUCGAAAAGGCACAACGGUGUGAACAUGUCCCGCAUGUCCAACUCUCCACCCUCACAAUCUACUUACUCGGCCUCUCCACCCUCCACCUAGGCAUCUACAACCUUCUACACCCGCGCAACGCUCUGACAUCCCUCGGCUUCCUGCUGUCUUUCUUGCCCUCUAUAAACGCCACCUCCACUGCCACCAUCGCUAUGGGCGUCUAUCAUACCCUUGCAGCGUAUCAGUGGAACAGUGUCUUCUACAUGCUGGCUGCGCUUAUGAGAUUGCUGACAAUCAGCGUCUUUUGGACCCAUGCGCAGCCGGGGUUGAGUAGGAGGGGAUGGAGGGCUGGCGUUGAUGUGGGAGUACAGAGCUGGGCAGGGUAGGAAGCGAAAGAAAUUUUGUGAGUUUGGGUAGCUCGAAUGAACCGGGAGUGAUAGAGAUAGGUGGCCGGGCUUAAGCCCAAGAUCAUCCUUAGAACCCUUUCUGUUGGUUCUGAGAUUUGUUUUACAUUCCUGGGGCAACAGUGCGGCGGUCCACGGAAAAACAUUAUGCACCCGGUCACUUCGUCAUUGAUUUCCUUGACAUGUCAUACAUACACUGUUCUGUCUGCAAUAGGAUGGGUGUUUGCAUGCAGAUAUCCACAGUUUUUUUGGGGGCAUUGAGAGGAACAAUCAACUUCCAAGAAAGAAAGAAGAGUAACACAAAAAGCUCCCUAAGCACGGCAUCAGCCAAAAUUUGUCCAGGUUGAAGUUUAUAGAUCUGGGUUUUAAGGGAUUCAAAAAAUGUCAAAUGCCAAACAAGGUAAGUUCCUGAACAAGUUGCCUGUCAAUGAUAUUUUGCUCCUGGACCCUUCCCGUGUCCUGUUACAUACAAGAUUAAAAAAAAUAAAAUAAAUAAAUAAAUAAAAAAUAACCAAAAAUAACUAAAAAUACAAAACCACAUUAAAUUUUGCAUUUUCACGGAUUUAUUUCAAAAAGCAUUCUCUUCCUCCAACCACACCAUAUGCUUGACAACGCUCCCAUUCCCGCCCUCCGCUUAUUCAUACCGCCCACUCCUUUGGCGAGGAAGACACCUCCCCACCAUGCAUCCCAUAACAAACACCUUGUCGACACGCGCAGGCCUCGAUGCUUUCGAAACCACAUACGCUCACCUCCCCAUUACCAGCGGGGCAUAUUUCGCUCCGGGUAAAAGUGGCGCUGGCAAGCGCGCAAACUUCGGUGGCGCCACAGCAAUUGCCAUGGUUGACCACAACGCAAUCGGAAUCCGUCGUGCAGACGUAUCGGGCGUCGGCUUGUCUGUCGCACUCAGAGUGUGUGGAGCUACUUGUAAGCAACAUGUGAAUAGAUCGUUUUGUUCCAUAGAAGGGUGCGGUUGGGGAAUGCGGAUUUUCGGGGGUGGUUGUAGUGCUGAAAUACGUACCUGGCAGGUACAGCCAUAGCAUGGCUGAGGGCCGCGAAGAACAAGAGGAGCGAUAAAAGUGAUUUCAUUGCGUUUGCGAAAGGGUUUACAGAACUCUUUUUGCCUGUGAGAGGUGUUGUAUGUGUCUCGCUGAGGUAUUUGCGACUGGUGGGAUUCGACGGAUUGAAGAUGGAUUAAAACACUACAUAUUUAUUGUUUCACGUUCCACAGGCUAACGCUUCUCUACCCUACGUGGCGCUUGGAGAUAAACAUGCCAAGUUUUUACAGAUGUUUCGGUGAGCUAAAUGGAGCAACAAGCUAGAUGCCCUGGCCACCACCAUAGUACAAAUAGGUCCUUUGUUGAAGACGAGUUGGUUACGGAUUCUGAUCUCUGGUUCCCCCAACAUAUAUUCCCAGGUUCAGAGUCAGAGGAAGAACACCAAGGUCCGGGUCAAUAUGGUAACCAACGGUUUUGUCUAAUACCGCUAGCCUUUGAGAUCUUCAUAGAUUUGCUUUUUUUGUUUUCCUUUUUUUAGCCUGUCUCAGCCAGGGCACUGUAUGAGGACGUCCUCAUCGCCAGCUUAGGCUGUGCUUUAUUAUAGUUAAAAAGCUCCCGUGGAGAAGGGGGCCGGGGGGGGCUUAAGGGGUCAUUUUUCUUUCCGCUUUUUAUUUUUAUUUUUUCUAGUUUCCCUCCUGGGAUUGCGUCCAAAGGCAACCGGACAAGUGGGAUAGAAGUGUGAACAACCACCAGACAGCAAACAGGAAACAGGUCAGAAUAUUUUUAGGAUCUGGCUAAAAGCCAUGGCGGAGAGGCAAUACCUUCCCAAAAUCCACUCAUAUGAACAUUUUUUUGUUGAAAAUUUCAUGCCGGACCACACAGUAUAUCCAACGAUUCGAUAGUUCAUAUUCCGUACUCGAACUAUAUUUAGCCCGGAUGGGGAGAGGAAUAUCCAUGAUUCUAGAGUUUAACAAACGAA